UACAGAGGGUGCGAGCGUUAAUCGGAAUUACUGGGCGUAAAGCGCACGUAGGUGGCGACGUAAGUCGGGUGUGAAAGCCCCGGGCUCAACCUGGGAAUUGCAUUCGAGACUGCAUUGCUGGAGUACGGAAGAGGAAGGCGGAAUUCCCGGUGUAGCGGUGAAAUGCGUAGAUAUCGGGAGGGACAUCAGUGGCGAAGGCGGCCUUCUGGUCCAGUACUGACACUCAAGUGCGAAAGCGUGGGGAGCAAACAGG
rnacentral:rRNA from 1 species